rnacentral:rRNA from 1 species
AGCCGACCUGAGAGCUUGAUCGGCCACAUUGCUACUGAGACACGGUCCAGACUCCUACGGGAGGCAGCAGUGGGGAAUAUUGCACAAUGGGCGAAAGCCUGAUGCAGCACGCCGCGUGAGUGAUGAAGGCCUUCGGGUUGUAAAGCUCUGUCUGUGGGGACGAUAAUGACGGUACG